GCAGCAGCCGCGGUAAUACGAGGGGGGCAAGCGUUGUUCGGAAUUAUUGGGCGUAAAGGGUGCGUAGGCGGCUUGACAAGUCUUGUGUGAAAUCUAUGGGCUCAACCCAUAGUCUGCACGGGAAACUGUCGGGCUUGAGAAUGGGAGAGGUGAGUGGAAUUUCCGGUGUAGCGGUGAAAUGCGUAGAUAUGUGGAAGAACACCGAUGGCGAAGGCAGCCCCCUGGCCAAUACUGACGCUCAUGCACGAAAGCGUGGGGAGCAAACAGGAUUAGAUACCCGCGUAGUCCCUGUCUCUUAUACA
rnacentral:rRNA from 1 species